UACGAAGGGGGCUAGCGUUGUUCGGAAUACUGGGCGUAAAGCGCGCGCAGGCGGUCUUCCAAGUCAGUGGUGAAAGCCCGGAGCUCAACUCCGGAACUGCCAUUGAAACUGUGAGACUUGAGGAUGAGAGAGGUGAGUGGAAUUCCCAGUGUAGAGGUGAAAUUCGUAGAUAUUGGGAAGAACACCGGUGGCGAAGGCGGCUCACUGGACCGGUUCUGACGCUGAUGCGCGAAAGCGUGGGGAGCAAACGGG
rnacentral:rRNA from 1 species